rnacentral:misc_RNA from 1 species
AUUUCAGGUUCCUGGGAUGUUUUAGCAUCCAUACAAUAGCAUUUUUUGAAUAAGAUACACACCACUCCACUCGUUACUUUGCUCAGUAUGCUCUCUAUUUACUAUCAAUGGUUGGUUUUCAUAUCCUUAGUAUUAUAAAUUAUCAGCAUAACAUGCGCUUGUUCUCUGUACUGUGCAUUGUUUGUCUUAUCAUCGUAAAUGACCCAUUUUGUUACACCUGAAGCCAGGCCGAUUCCUCGAUCUACACGGGCCACUGGGCAAGAGCAACCGCAGCUCCCACUCGAUGUGGGAACAGAGGACGAGCCGAAGCUUGACUUCGAAAACACUAUGGAUGCAAGAGGCAGGAGAAUGCACCGUUUUCGGCCUCAGGUACCACCGCAUACGCCACGCCGCAAACUCUCUGAGGAGGACGGCGGUGUCAGCAGUGAAGAACCAAAGCUAAGAAACGAAGACCUCCGUGGAGCAAUUCA